AAAAAAAAAAAAGAAAAAGAAAAGAAAACCCGGUAAAUCCCGUUGCCAGAUAAAUUUACAAAACCUGGAAAAUUAAACUUUUUAAAACAUGAAGCAGAGCAUGAAGUUCAGUGUUCAGUGAAAAGAUUCUUACUAGCUGUGUCAUUAAGAACUUUUUAUCAAACCUGAAAUAUAAAAAUAUAUGUUUGCGCAUAAGUUUCGGCUCGAAUUACCUUAUGCCCAGCCCAGCUUAUUACCGGAAGGUACUAGCGCGAUUAUUAGUUUUUUUCGGCAUAUUGCCAGUACCUUUCAGUAGUAGGCUGGGUUUCAGGUAAUCGAGGCUGAGCUCUACCAGAGAACCAGAGUUGUCUAAAUAAAAGUGGGUCAAACGGCCUUCUGUAUCCUCCAGCCAGUAUUUAAAUUUCAUAAAAAGCGUCAAUAAAGCCAUCUAUCGUCAAAUUAGGCUUUGAAAAAGCAUCUACCGGUCGCUUAUGAACGCUGAUUGCACAUGAUUAUUACGACAUAUGAUCGUACGUGUGAUUGCAACGUACACAACAAAAAUUGAAUGAUGGCAUGUUUUGCUAACAAGAAAGUUUGACGAACCAAUAGUGGUAAAAGAGCACAUUUCAAAGACGUUUUGACAGAUGCUGAGGAACAAAAUUUGUUAACAGCUAUCGUUAUUACCUACCUGCAUCUACGCGUCAUCAGGAUGUACUGUCUCCAAUGGCUAUUACCGGUUCUUUUGAUUCCCAAGCCAAUCAAUCCAUUACUUCUCUACAACCAUGCUGUUUUCAUGGUGCUUUACCUGGCAGGAUUCUUUCUGGAACGGCAGCCUUGUACAAUUUGCUCACUGGCCUUUCUAGUGGCCCUUUUUCUUUUGUGCUACAGUGGGCUUGGCUGGUGUGUCUUUUGGGAAUCGGAAUGUGACACUGUCCGAUGUGGUGACAGUUUGUGAUUCAUGGGAUUGAUACUCUUUGACAUUUUUAACCUUGUGUAUUGCAUUUGUAAACCAAGUGACCCUGACAGAAGCAAAUAUAUCAGCGAUUUGGGUGCUCAAGCAAAA